rnacentral:rRNA from 1 species
AGCGGCAGACGGGUGAGUAACACGUUGGCAAUCUAUCUUUCCGACCGGGAUAACUAGCCGAAAGGUUAGCUAAUAUCAGAUGCGAUCACCGAGCGGCAUCGUUUGGUGAUGAAAGCAGUAAUGCGCGGAUUGAGGAGCCUGCGGCCCAUUAGCUAGUUGGUGAGGUAACGGCCCACCAAGGCAACGAUGGGUAGCUGGUCUGAGAGGACGACCAGCCACACUGGGACUGAGACACGGCCCAGACUCCUACGGGAGGCAGCAGUGAGGAAUUUUCCGCAAUGGGCGAAAGCCUGACGGAGCGACGCCGCGUGCACGAGGAAGGUCUUCGGAUCGUAAAGUGCUGUCGAGGGGGACGAUUAUGACGGUACCCCUGGAGGAAGCCCCGGCUAACUACGUGCCAGCAGCCGCGGUAAGACGUAGGGGGCGAGCGUUGUUCGGAAUUACUGGGCGUAAAGCGUGCGUAGGCGGAUUCGUAAGUCGAGGUUGAAAUAUCCGGGCUCAACUCGGGGCACGGCCUCGA